CCCUUAGAUGUUCUGGGCUGCACGCGCGCUACACUGUCGGAUUCAGCGAGUCAUAUCCUUAACCGAAAGGUUUGGGUAAUCUUUUGAAAGUCCGACGUGAUGGGGAUUGAUCAUUGCAAUUAUUGAUCAUGAACGAGGAAUUCCUAGUAAGCGCGAGUCAUCAGCUCGCGUUGAUUACGUCCCUGCCCUUUGUACACACCGCCCGUCGCUACUACCGAUUGAAUGGUUUAGUGAGAUCUUCGGAUUGGCGCCUACGCGGCUUCUCUGAGGCCACGCGGGAUGCCGAAAAGUUGCUCAAACUGUAUCAUUUAGAGGAAGUAAAAGUCGUAACA
rnacentral:rRNA from 1 species